rnacentral:tmRNA from 1 species
GGGGUUGUACUGGUUUCGACGGGGAUUUUGAACUUGGAGAAGCAAGCCGCAGGUAUGCGUUAAAUCCAAAAUUAAAAAUAAACGCUGAAGAUAAUUUAGCAUACGCUGCCUGAGGGCAGCUGUCCUGCUCCUGACACCUACAUCAGGAGGCCAGGGCAUCGAUGAUGUAGGAAACGACAUGUGUGACGGCCCUGGCACAUGGGCGUAUAAGGGUCUACUGAAACCUGGAACGUGCUGUUUCGUGCCCGGCGGAGGGAAUGUCAGAUAAGCAGCUAAGCUUGUAGAAGGACAAUGGAUGGGUCUUCGGACAGGGGUUCGAUUCCCCUCAGCUCCAU